rnacentral:rRNA from 1 species
UCGCACGAGAAAGGGCUUCGGCCCCGGUAAAGUGGCGCACGGGUGAGUAACACGUGGGUAAUGUUCCCUCGGGCGGGGGAUAACCCUCCGAAAGGAAGGCUAAUACCGCAUAAGACCACGGCCUCGAAAGAGGUUGAGGUAAAAGCAGGCCUCUGCAUGCAAGCUUGCACCUGAGGAUCAGCCCGCGGCCCAUCAGCUAGUUGGUAGGGUAAAAGCCUACCAAGGCUAAGACGGGUAGCUGGUCUGAGAGGAUGAUCAGCCACACUGGAACUGAGACACGGUCCAGACUCCUACGGGAGGCAGCAGUGGGGAAUCUUGCGCAAUGGGCGAAAGCCUGACGCAGCGACGCCGCGUGGGUGAUGAAGGCCUUCGGGUUGUAAAGCCCUGUGGGGAGAGACGAAUAAGUCGGAGCCAAUACCUCCGGCGAUGACGGUACCUCCUUAGCAAGCACCGGCUAACUCUGUGCCAGCAGCCGCGGUAAGACAGAGGGUGCAAACGUUGUUCGGAAUUACUGGGCGUAAAGCGUGUGUAGGCGGCCGCGCAAGUCGGAUGUGAAAGCCCCGGGCUCAACCCGGGAAGUGCACCCGAAACUGCGUGGCUUGAGUACCGGAGAGGUUGGUGGAAUUCUCGGUGUAGAGGUGAAAUUCGUAGAUAUCGAGAGGAACACCGGUGGCGAAGGCGGCCAACUGGACGAGUACUGACGCUGAGACACGAAAGCGUG